CUUCCGGUCGACGAGGUACAAGUACCUCGUCGACUGGAAGGAUCUCUUCUGGCCGACGAGGUACAUGUACCUCGUCGAAUGGAAGGACACCCUUCCGGUCGACGGGGUACAAGUACCUCGCCGGCUGGAAGGAAGCCCUUCCGGUCGACGAGGUACAAGUACCUCGCCGGCUGGAAG
rnacentral:miRNA from 1 species